rnacentral:rRNA from 1 species
GCCUGCAUGAAGCUGGAAUUGCUAGUAAUCAUAGGUCAGCAUACUAUGGUGAAUACGUUCCCGGGCCUUGUACACACCGCCCGUCACACCAUGAGAGUUGAGAAUACCCGAAGUCCAUGUCAAAGUGGCCGAAGGUAGGCUUGAUGAUUGGGGUGAAGUCGUAACAAGGUAUC